AGCUUUGUGCAGUGGCAGUAUUGUAGCCAAUGAGGUUUAUUCGAGGCGUGAUUAUUGCUAAUUGAAAACUUUUCCCAAUACCCCGCCAUGACGACUUGCAAUAUAGUUGGCCCCGGCAAUUUUUGACAGUCUGUACGGAGA